rnacentral:pre_miRNA from 1 species
UGUUUAUGAAUGUUCCAGAACAUUUUCAGAAUGUUCAUAAAUUUUCUGAACAUUCAUGAACAUUCUGAAAAUGUUCUGGAUCAUUUAUGA